AAAAUCCCUAAAUCAGAAAAGCUUCAAUCUCUCCAUCAUCUUCUUCCUCCUCAUCAUAGAAAAAAAUAAACAUAUUCAUCCUCUACUCCUCUCUUUUCUCUUCUUUCUUAACCACUGAUGUUUUUAGUUCUUUUGAAAUCAAAAGUACAAACUCCUUUGCAAUUAAAUGUAUCCACUUGAGCACCAGGAUCCCAACACCACCCCUUCUCCUUCUUUGUCCACUAUCUCUUCUUUACCAUUUUUUUUUUAUGAUUCUUAACAUAUUUUUGCAAAAUCUAAUUGAUGAGGAAGAAAGUUAGAAACUCUUCAUCUCUACAAGAUUAGAUCAGUAAUCCCACAAUAACCCAUCUUGUUCAAUCAUAAAAAUCAGCAAACUUUAUUCAACAUCCAAGUUAAAGUUUCUAUCCUUGGAGGAAUCCACACAAACCCAUUUCCGAUUUUGUAAAAAGUUUGUUUUCUAUUUGUUACUUGUUCAUCUCACUUGCUAAAUUAAAGACCCUUUUGAAAUGUUCAAGUUUAGGUAUGAAUUUGAUUGAUUGUUGAUGUUACUGGUUCCGAAGGAUACUUCUCACCCACAUUUCGCCUUUGCCUUGUUGCGAACAAACCGCCUCCUUCCUUCACCUCUCUCUCUCUUUGCAGUUUCUGCUACCUCAAAUCAAAGCUUUCAUCUCCAAACACAAGAUGAGGAGGAAGAAGAUGAUGGAGAGAUUGAAGCUUUUCUGAUUUGGGGAUUUUGGUGAAGGACUAAAUUGAAGUUUUUAAUUUUUCUGGACUGGGCGAGACCCUAGGGUCCUUCACCCAGAAGCGCUGGCCUAUGCUCUGACCUCAACUCAAUCUCACACAAAUCAGAAGCAUUGUGUAUAAAGAGCGACCCAAGCAACGCUUUCGCAUUCACCAUGUUCAGUAUGAACAGUGGAAAAGCUUCAGAAGUUCUGCAGUUAUACAAACUCUGAUGUGGACUCAGUCACUAGAAG